rnacentral:rRNA from 1 species
UCGAUCCAUUUUGGGAACUUUGUGUGCACUUCGGUGCGCAUCUCAAUUGGACCUGAUAUCACGCAAGA